rnacentral:lncRNA from 1 species
CCAGCCCAAUAAUACACUGAAAUGGGAAGCUUAUGUGCAAUCUAAGGACAGAAUAUGAGCUUUACCUACUGGCACAUGGCAUGCACCCUGCAGUCACUGGACUGCAGGAGAUACUGCCAGCCUCUGCCAUCCAGGAGAAGAAUUGCAUGCCAACAAGCAAAGAAGCAAGAACAAACCUGGAAGAGGUCAUCAAUUCAAAAUCUGAAACAACGAGAAGACUUCCAGUGUCCUAGCCAGAUAUAUUAUCUUUGUUCCAGAGUGCUGACCACUGUUAAAGUUUCUCAAAGCAACGUGAAGUAA